UCCUGUGGUUCUAACCUGGUUUCUCACUGAAGCUAAGCAGGGUUGAGCCUGGCCAGUACCUCGAUGGGAGACCUCCUGGGGAAACUAAGGUUACUGCUGGAA
rnacentral:rRNA from 1 species